rnacentral:pre_miRNA from 1 species
GUAAUACUCCCUCCGUCCGGAAAUACUUGUCGAAGGAAUGGAUGUAUCUAGACGUAUUUUAGUUUUAGAUACAUCCAUUUUUAUGCAUUUUUGUGACAAGUAUUUUCGGACGGAGGGAGUAUAUA